rnacentral:ncRNA from 1 species
UGACUGCAAGACUCACCCGUCGAGCAGAGACGAAAGUCGGCCUUAGUGAUCCGACGGUGCCGAGUGGAAGGGCCGUCGCUCAACGGAUAAAAGUUACUCUAGGGAUAACAGGCUGAUCUUCCCCAAGAGUCCACAUCGACGGGAAGGUUUGGUACCUCGAUGUCGGCUCUUCGCCACCUGGAGCUGUAGGUGGUUCCAAGGGGUGGGCUGUUCGCCC